CGUGUAGGCGGGACAGCAAGUCGGGUGUGAAAGCCCUGGGCUCAACCCAGGAAGGGCAUUCGAUACUACUGUUCUUGAGUAUGACAGAGGAAAGCGGAAUUCCCGGUGUAGCGGUGAAAUGCGUAGAUAUCGGGAAGAACACCUGUGGCGAAGGCGGCUUUCUGGGUCACAACUGACGCUGAGGCGCGAAAGCUAGGGGAGCGAACG
rnacentral:rRNA from 1 species